rnacentral:tRNA from 1 species
UCCCUGAUAACUCAGUUGGUAAAGAAUCUGCCUGCAAUGCAGGAGACCCUGGUUCAAUUCCUGGAUUGGGAA